rnacentral:rRNA from 1 species
GACAGAGGAUGCAAGCGUUAUCCGGAAUGAUUGGGCGUAAAGCGUCUGUAGGUGGCUUUUUAAGUCUGCCGUCAAAUCCCAGGGCUUAACCCUGGACAGGCGGUGGAAACUACCCAAGCUGGAGUACGGUAGGGGCAGGGGGGAAUUUCCGGUGGAGCGGUGAAAUGCGUAGAGAUCGGAAAGAACACCAACGGCGAAAGCACUCUGCUGGGCCGACACUGACACUGAGAGACGAAAGCUAGGGGAGCGAAUGGG